rnacentral:pre_miRNA from 1 species
CCAAUACUCCCUCCGUCCGGAAAUACUUGUCUUCAAAAUGGAUGUAUCUAUAACUAAAAUAAGUCUAGACACAACCAUUUUGAGGACAAGUAUUUCCAGACGGAGGGAGUAUUAU